GACGAACGCUGGCGGCGUGCCUAACACAUGCAAGUCGAACGGAAAGGCCCUGCUUUUGUGGGGUGCUCGAGUGGCGAACGGGUGAGUAACACGUGAGUAACCUGCCCUUGACUUUGGGAUAACUUAAGGAAACUGGGGCUAAUAUCGGAUAGGAGCUCCCGCUGCAUGGUGGGGGGUGGAAAGUUUCGGCGGUUGGGGAUGGACUCGCGGCUUAUCGGCUUGUUGGUGGGGUAGUGGCUUACCGAGCCUUGGACGGGUCGCCGGCCUGGGAGGGUGACCGGCCACAUUGGGCCUGAGAUACGGCCCAGACUCCUACGGGAGGCAGCGGUGGGGAAUAUUACACAGUGGGCGGGAGCCUGAUGCGACAACGCCGCGUGCGGGAUGACGGCCUUCGGGUUGUGAACCGCUUUCGCCUGAGACGAAGCGUGAGUGACGGUAAUGGGUGAAGAAGCACCGGCUAACUACGUG
rnacentral:rRNA from 1 species